rnacentral:rRNA from 1 species
AUUGAACGCUGGCGGCAGGCUUAACACAUGCAAGUCGAGCGGGGUGAUGGUGCUUGCACUAUCACUUAGCGGCGGACGGGUGAGUAAUGCUUAGGAAUCUGCCUAUUAGUGGGGGACAACAUCUCGAAAGGGAUGCUAAUACCGCAUACGUCCUACGGGAGAAAGCAGGGGAUCACUUGUGACCUUGCGCUAAUAGAUGAGCCUAAGUCGGAUUAGCUAGUUGGUGGGGUAAAGGCCUACCAAGGCGACGAUCUGUAGCGGGUCUGAGAGGAUGAACCGCCACACUGGGACUGAGACACGGCCCAGACUCCUACGGGAGGCAGCAGUGGGGAAUAUCGGACAAUGGGGGGAACCCUGGUCCAGCCAUGCCGCGUGUGUGAAGAAGGCCUUAUGGUUGUAAAGCACUUUAAGCGAGGAGGAGGCUCUUUUGGUUAAUACCCAAGAUGAGUGGACGUUACUCGCAGAAUAAGCACCGGCUAACUCUGUGCCAGCAGCCGCGGUAA